rnacentral:lncRNA from 1 species
UGCUGAACAUUAUUGCUGUUUACAGUUUAUCUCUAUCUAUAAUAAUAUUCAAGAUAAUAACCAAAAUCUGCAAAAUUUCCUUCAAAUUACUAAUUUGGGGGCAGCAACCCAAUAAUGGGUUGUCAGAUUUGUCUGAAAAUUUCAGGGCAGAUAGAUCUUGACCUAAUAGACAAUUUUACCCCAUGUCAGAUUUGCUCUAAAUGCUUUGGUUUCAGAUUUAUAAGCCAAAAUCUAC